CGUGUGCACGCUCUGCACUUGUCAGUCAGUCGCAGCUCUCGCGUGUGAGGGAGAGGACACAUCUUAAGGAAGCUCCUACGACAAUUCAAACCUUCAUACUUCUCCUCUUUGCGCAGUUUUCUCUCAUUGGAUGCUUUCUGACCAGGGAUUGAAAUAGUUGGAGGAUAUUGACUGAAGUGGAGUGAAGUUAUAGCUUAAUAUACAAAAGGAAAAUGGCAACAUCACCAGCUGUUCAGUUGGCAUCAACUCACAUUGAAGACAAACUGCCACCGGACAGGAUGAGCCUCGACAGAGAUCCUACAGAUGGAAACAAGGGUGGGUGGUUGGAAGGCUGCAUAAAGGCUGCUGGAUGACUGAACUCAGAGACCCGGCACAGCUCAUCAUCAUUGCCACGGGCUCUCGUCUUCCUCGUCUUCCUCCCAUGGCCCCGUACCUUUCCAUCCAGGGGUCCAGCGGAGCCAGCGAAGCCCGGGCGGGGAGCUUGUGAGUGGGCCGGGAAACAUGGAGAAGCUCCCUGAAGGCCCGGAGCACCUCUGGAGCUAGCGGCGUGCAGGAGAAAUCAAUAUAAAACACAGAGCGCUGCACAGCUCUGAGUGGGGUUUCCUGUGUUAGUCUGUGGCCUCGGGCCCGCAGACCUCCAAAGGACAGGCCCUGCGUGGCCCCUCUCAGCUGCAGAACUGGACCUCAGUCCCGAUCUCCGCUGGCUGUGUGUGGUUCUGCUGAAGGGGAUCGCUCCCCAAAUAAUACCCAGAAUGUGGAGAGACCGCCAGGAGGGCUAUUUCCUUUUCUCUUGAUUUUCAUUCCUUCAUAAGAUUGACAUAUCCCCCACCUCCUGCCUCCGGCUGCUCCAAAACCAGUUUGGGAGUUCUGCUUUGGACUCGCUCUCCAUUCUCGACUCACCCGCUGUUUAUUCCCCAACCAGUUUUUAAAUUUGACAAAGAGACAGUACGAUCUUUAUUUUCUCCUCCACUUUCUCCUGACUUGCUGUUACCAUGGUGAGCCGUAGACAUGUGUCUGUUAAAACCAGAAACACUGGCACAUGAA